rnacentral:misc_RNA from 1 species
AUCAGGCCUAUUUUACCCUGUGAUGGGGCUUUUUGAGACAUGUGAUUCAAAUGAGAUAAAGCACUUAAAAAGCUUCCAUCAUGUUUUUUUUUUUGCCUUGAGCUCAACUCAAAGAGCCACAAAACAUAAAAAAUAAACACUAAUUCCUUCACUUAUAUUUAGAACACAGCAAAUAUCCCCAUAUUUAUAAAUCUGCACUUAGGACUGAACCAAGUCAAGUGGUCCUGUCCAGCAGGAACUACACGUUGGAUGUUUAUACUAAAACAAAAUAUAACUGUCCUCUCUCUUUCCACCACGUCCCUCCCUUGCUGAAUGAUUGUUGUUCCACUGUGCUUGCCAGUGGCUGUGCAGCUCGCUGUGGCAUCAGCCAAUGGUGGAAUCCCCUGGUUGCGUGUCUGGACUGGAUCCCCUGUGAGGUUACACCACGUUGCCACUGCUACAGCAAACAUUACACCCUGCCACAAAGUCUUGCACAUGUGUGGGAUUUUACCGAGGCAGAAUAUCUGAUGUCAACUGCCCAUCUCACCUGCUGCAUUUAAAAUGAAGGUCAAAUGAUAUACAGUCUCAAUACAACAUAUAUUGACUUAACAAUGUUUGUCUUUAGCAAGAAGUAACAAAAGAUGACCAAUUGGCAAAGAAAUUUAACUUAAUUUUAUUAAAAUAUUGAACAGACAACUUUCUCACCAAGUUCACAAUAAAACGUUUAACCUCCUGAAAGAGACAUGAUAAACAAAUACAAAUUAGUUUCCAAAUCAUUUUAAAUAUUUAAGACAACUGCCAAAUGUCCAGCUCAUGAUAACCUACCCAUGACAGGACCGAUGAGAAUGUGUUGGUAUCUACAGAUCAUUUUACUCAGAGCUAGGAAACCAUUGUGUUUACUGUUGGAACAUAACCAUUGCUUUUGCUAAAAUGUGCAAAAUUUUCCAUCAUCACUUCUGCUCGCUGUCUGACAGGCUAUAAUUCCUCCCAAAAAAAAAAGACCCCCCCAAAAAAAAAACAAAGACGAUAGAAAGAAGUUAAAGACGACAAAGACAACAAAAAAAGACAUCAAUUUCCCAUAUCUACUCCAUUAUCAUUUAAGAUAAUGUACAAUCAACUACUACUGUGCAACUAAAUGGACUACAUCCAACGGCUUUGUUUGUGAUAACAAGAGGAAAAUGAAGUUGUGCAGGAUCUUAGUCCAGGCUUUGUUUCCUCUUAAGGCAGGUAAGCUUUAAAGGUCCUCUUCAUCAGAAACCAGCGCGACCAGAUAGAAGGGUGUGCUUCACAUCACAGAACCCGAAUCAAGAGAGACAUCUGUCUGUCUUGAGCUUCCUUCAAUGUCCAUUAAUCGCUGUCUUAGGUAGGUGUGCUGUGCAUGUAUUUACAACUUUUACCAAAUGCAUUGCCACCGUGGAGCCCCUGCAUACUUCUUAAUACGUGCAGUGAAAAGCAAGGCACCACCUCCAUGUAUCUUAUGCCAACCUCUUCAUGUGUACAUCCCACUGCGAUCCAUCAUCACUCACUCCCUUCCAUAGUUAAUCACAGAUGUACUUUUUCUGACUCUUUUUCCUUACAUAAUGUAUUGAUUAGCAUGGGUUUAUGUAUGGUUGUAUGUACAUUUUUAUGUCUAUAUUGGCAUCUGUAUGUAGAGAAUUUGGUUGUACUGAGCAUUUGGACUAUUUCGAAGAGGAGGGGAAGUGGAACGAGAGGAGGAGGAGGGGCAGUGCUGUCUGAGCCUCUAGAAAACAGGCAGUCUGGUGGAGGUCAGAGUACAGGCAUUGAUAUCCUCAGUGUGAGAGGCUCUGUGCAGGGACGGUUCUGAGGCACUGCGGUUUAUCUUAGGGAGGGCGUGCUGGAGAAGUUCGAUGGAGGACAAGAUCUGG